rnacentral:lncRNA from 1 species
GCUUGGAUGUGUAGUCCCAUGAGUGAUUUGUGAUUAAAGCUAGGAUGCUAGGAAGAAUGAAUUCUAAGAUGAUAGAUGACUACUAAUUGCUGUUGAUAUUGUAAGUGAAACAUGAGUGCGAUGUGUAUUGUGUGUGACACCGAUAACGGGUGGCGUCUAGUGAUUGAGUCCAAGUACAAGUCUAAAUGAAAAAGGAAAGUAAAUGAGAAUGGGAAGGGAUAAGUGAAAAUGAUAAGGAUGUGAAAGGAUAAGUAAAAGUAUGAAAGAAUGAUGUUACGGUUAAGCAUGGGUGGGGAAGCAUAUAGAGUCUAAGGAAAGUAUGUGUGGCAGUAGUUCUCGCUAGGUAUCCAUAGGAGAUGUGGCGAAUCCACA